UUCCUGGGAAGCGUUUGACUGCACACCCAGCAAUUGGUCAUAGCUGUUCUUUGUGGUAGAAGGGACUGGAUGGAUUGAGCAGCAUUUUCCCAAAGUCCCCUGGGGUGUCCCAGUGUGCACUGCACUGGUAGGACACAUGGGCUGGGUCAGCAGCUGGCAGGGGGCUCCGUCUCCGUGGAGCAAUCCUACCAUGGUCAUCUCAUUCUGUCCUCCAGGAGCUGAGUUACCUUACCCAUUUCCCCAUUGGCCUCAGUUUCCCACCUUCAUGAAACCAAUCUAAGUUGGAGCAGGCAGGAAUAGGAGGAUGAGGACAUGCUUACUGAAUGCCAAGGACCAUCCCAACUGCAUUUCAUAGGCAGCCUUUAGUCCUGGAGGAAAGUAAUUCCCCAGGGCCUCAAGUAGCUUACAAUACUCUUAUUAUUUAAAUGAUAGAAAUGGUAAUUGCUGGAAACAUUUCAAAGAAUCAGGAUGUUUGUAAAGUAAAAGGGCCCUUCCCAGAGCAGAUGCAGAGUCCCAUUUCUCAGUGAACCACUGUUCUGCCUGGCUAUGUUGUUCUACUUUUAUCUGUGUGUGUGUGUGUGUGUGUGUGUGUGUGUGUGUGUGUGUGUGUGUGUGUGUGUGAUGCUUUGAGUGUUAUGUGACAAAACUUUCAUGGGGAGACACCACACACACAUCUACUCAGCCCAUAUAGGGAGUCCAUGACAGACCAAAGUACAGAUACCACCGAAGUCCAACUCUGUGAACCAGUGAGUUUUAUUGGGGUUAUUACAGGAAUAUGGGUAAGAGGUCACUUACAGCAGCCGAAAUGACUCAAAGAUGGCUGCAUCACCCAAGCCCACCCCAGCAUGGGUGACAGCUCAGAAAGCCGGGAACCUGCAGGCAGCUCAGCAGGUGGGACACUGUCCAUUCUGGGUGCCUCAGUUGGUCUAAACUUUCCCAUUUUUAUAACUGAAUUUAGGUUUCAGUUCUCUGAAAGAAGCAAACAGAUGUCUCUUCCAACAAAGGACCAUUUAUCACCAAAUUACAUUCAGGCAUGAGGGAGAGAGCACAAACAAGCCUGAGUCAGCCCCACAAUGUCUCUAGGACAGUUCCUGCAACCCCCUUGAAACUUACCCAAGUUUGUCAGAGAUAAAACCUCAGCCAGUUAGAACUAUUCUAAUGUCACUGCAGCUUGCUUAACCAAUAAUGUUUGAGAUGACCUAACCGUGCCUCAAAUGCUCGUAGCUGUGCUUAACCUGCGUGCUCCUAUUGGAUCUUGGCCAUGUUGUCCAUGUGAAUGCCCAGGUGUAUGCUGGUAUAUUAAUAAACGCUCGGUGCUCUUAAAUACUAUUUGAGUCUACCGACUUCUUCAGCGUUUCCUCAGACCCCAACAAAACUUUGCAGGCCCCUCAGCUGGAUUCUGUUUCUUUCAGUGAGCCUGUCUGGUCUCAGCCUCUUUCUCCCACCUUGGUUUUGCCCCUCACAGGCACUCUCGGUUUUUAUUGUUUACUCUGGCAGGAAAGAGCCUAGUGAAUCUGGUCAGUUUGGGGGCCUUUCUGGAUACAUUUGAGUUGUUUACCUUUCUGCUUUAGGAGCUUCCCUGCAGGAUGGAAUAUUUCAGUCUCAGAGGAAACUGUUGUACAACAGAGGGUUGGACUCAGAAGUGGUAGGGCGCAUCUGCACGGGCCCUCAGAUGGGGCGUGCCCUUAAAUGCCCCGCCUCUCCGUCGGACUAGCGUCCUGCCCAUCAGCCCCUGGAAAACCCUGAAGUAAGGUGGCCGGUCGAUAUUCGUCUGGGAAGAGCAGCACAGAGCAGGUGUUCGAAAGUGGAGCAUGGUCAAGAUGGCAGAGAAGGGAGUCGGACUUCUAGGGCCACCAUGUGCACUAUGUGAUGCUGUAGUGUCCCCAGCUUGCAUCAUCAUGAGUGUGGUGACCAAAGAUGAUGACAGGUGAUAUCAUGUGGAGUGGGCCCCAUGGAAUGGACCCAAGGGUCAGCUGUGCCAGACUCUUGUCUUCAGAGGUUGUCUACUUGCCAUGCCUCCGAUAAAUUGCAUUAUUUCCUCCACAGUCUCAGUCCCCGAAGGUACCUACCCUUUCCACAUGCAUACUGUUGCAG